AGGAAGUAAAAGUCGUAACAAGUCUCCGUUGGUGAACCAGCGGAGGGAUCAUUACUGAGUUUACGCUCUAUAACCCUUUGUGAACAUACCUAUAACUGUUUGCUUCGGCGGGUAGGGUCUCCGCGACCCUCCCGGCCUCCCGCCUCCGGGCGGGUCGGCGCCCGCCGGAGGAUAACCAAACUCUGAUUUAACGACGUUUCUUCUGAGUGGUACAAGCAAAUAAUCAAAACUUUUAACAACGGAUCUCUUGGUUCUGGCAUCGAUGAAGAACGCAGCGAAAUGCGAUAAGUAAUGUGAAUUGCAGAAUUCAGUGAAUCAUCGAAUCUUUGAACGCACAUUGCGCCCGCCAGCAUUCUGGCGGGCAUGCCUGUUCGAGCGUCAUUUCAACCCUCAAGCUCUGCUUGGUGUUGGGGCCCUACAGCUGAUGUAGGCCCUCAAAGGUAGUGGCGGACCCUCCCGGAGCCUCCUUUGCGUAGUAACUUUACGUCUCGCACUGGGAUCCGGAGGGACUCUUGCCGUAAAACCCCCCAAUUUUCCAAAGGUUGACCUCGGAUCAGGUAGGAAUACCCGCUGAACUUAAGCAUAUC
rnacentral:rRNA from 1 species